GACGAACGCUGGCGGCGUGCUUAACACAUGCAAGUUGAACGGAAAGGCCCUGCUCUUGUGGGGUGCUCGAGUGGCGAACGGGUGAGUAACACGUGAGUAACCUGCCCUUGACUUUGGGAUAAAUUCAGGAAACUGGGGCUAAUACCGGAUAGGAGCUCCUGCUGCAUGGUGGGGGUUGGAAAGUUUCGGCGGUUUGGGAUGGACUCGCGGCUUAUCCGCUUGUUGGUGGGGUAGUGGCUUACAAAGGCUUUGACGGGUAGCCGGCCUUAGAGGGUGAACGGCGACCUGGGGACUGCGGUACGGCGCAGAAUCGUAUGUGAGGCAGCAGUGGGGAAUAUUGCACAGUGGGGGGAAGCGUGAUGCGGAAAUCCCCGGUGCGGGAUAACGGCCUUCGGGUUAUAAACCAAUUUGGACUGAGCCGAAGAGUGAGUGACGGUAAUGAGUAAAGAAGCACCGGCUAACUACGUG
rnacentral:rRNA from 1 species